rnacentral:tRNA from 1 species
GCCUGGGUGGCGGAAUCGGUAGACGCAGCGGACUCAAAAUCCGCCGGGGCAGCCCCCCGUGAGAGUUCGAGUCUCUCCCUAGGCACCA